AAAGAUAUCUGGUUGAUCCUGCCUGAACUGAUGUGCUUAUCUCAAAGAUUAAGCCAUGCAUGUCUAAGUAUAAACGAUUUAAUCGUGAAACCGCGAAUGGCUCAUUACAAUGGCCAUUAUUUACUUGAUCUUGAUUGUCUAAAUGGAUAACUGUGGUAAUUCUAGAGCUAAUACAUGCAUUAAAGCUCUGACCUCACGGGAAGAGUGCAUUUAUUAGAACAAAACCAAGCGGCUUCGGCUGUUUCUGGUUGACUCAUAAUAACUUAGCUGACCGCAUGGCCUUGUGCCGGCGGCGUGUCUUUCAAGCGUCCACUUUAUCAACUUGACGGGAGCAUAAUCGACUCCCGAGGUGAUGACGGAUAACGGAGGAUCAGGGUUCGACUCCGGAGAAGGGUCUGAGAAAUGGCCACUACGUCUAAGGAUGGCAGCAGGCGCGCAAAUUACCCACUCUCGGCUCGAGGAGUAGUGACGAGAAAUAACGAGACUGUUUCUUUUGAGUCCGGCAUCGGAAUGGGUACAAUUUAAACCCUUUAACGGAGUAUCAAAGCAGAGGGCAAGUCUGGUGCCAGCAGCCGCUUAAUUUGGACUCAAACAGGGGAAACUCACCCGGCCCGGACACUGUGAGGAUUGACAGAUUGAUAGCUUUUCAUGAUUCAGUGGCAUGGUGGUGCAUGGCCGUUCUUAGUUCGUGAGUGAUUUGUUCUGUUUAUUCCGAUAACGAGCGAGACUCUAACCUACUAAAUAGUUUGGUACAUACCUUAGUGUAUACAGCUUCUUAGAGGGAUUUGCGGCGUUCAGCCGAAAGAAAUUGAGCAAUAACAGGUCUGUGAUGCCCUUAGAUGUCCGGGCUGCACGCGCGCUACACUGGCAAAAUAAACGUGCUUGCCUACCCUGAAAGGGGCGGGUAAACCAUUGAAAAUUUGCCGUGAUUGGGAUCGGGAAAUUGCAAUUAUUUUCCGUGAAACGAGGAAUUCCAAGUAAGUGCGAGUCAUCAGCUCGCGUUGAUUACGUCCCUGCCCUUUGUACACACCGCCCGUCGCUGCCCGGGACUGAGCAUUUCGAGAAAUUUGGGGACCGUUGAUUUAAUUUUCUAAAUUACUUUGAUGGAAACCAAUUUAAUCGCAGUGGCUUGAACCGGGCAAAAAGUCGUAACAAGGUAGCUGUAGGUGAACCCUGCUGCUGGAUCAUUACUUUA
rnacentral:rRNA from 1 species